rnacentral:lncRNA from 1 species
AACAUCAGCCAUGACCAUUCAUCUUCAACUGGUAAAACACAAUAUUUAAAAAGAACAUACUCGUGCUUUUUCCCUUUAUAUGGCGAUCGAUUGAAGGUGAAGGUAAAAAUCUCACCUCCAGUCUCCAGGCCUCCAACCGACACUCCUAAAAUCGAAAAUUCAAAAUUAUUCUGUGGUUCUUCAAUAUUCAUCGUCAUCGUCGCAUACAGAGACUUACACCCGAAGACACUUUUCUUAACCUUGUCGACGAUCACAUGAACAUCGACUUCUACUCACUGAUGCUAGCAAGCAGCGACACACCACCGGUCUUCCACUCCGGCGCAGCAGGGUAGUGACGACCGAUUUGUUCAUCAGGUAACAUUAAGGUUUUUUAUUGCAAAUGUUGUUCGAAAUCAACCUCUUCUGUUGAAUCUUUUUUCUUGCAAAAUCAAUUCGAAAGCUACAUGUUUUGCUGAUAUGAACCUCUUAUGCUUAUUAGUUUGUUGUAUGCACCAAAGCUUGAAAAUAAUUUGAUUUUUUUGAUUCAAAUGCACAUAUGUGUUUACCUUAUUUGUUUAGAAUCAUGUUGUGAGACCUAUUUUGAUCUUUCUCUACCCACUUUCUUGACGAGUACUUCGUUUUUUGUGUAUGAAGUAUUUAAUUUUGUCAAGGCAAUUUGGUAAUAUCUAGUUGUAUGAUGUUUGUUGACAAUUUCUGGUUGUAUCUCGUGGUUGUAUGUGAAUCUGAUAACAGUAAUAUGUAUCUGGUUAACUGAGAUUCUGAUUCAAAUACACUUAUACACGUAUGGACCAAAGAUUUAAAAUAAUUUGAUUUUUUUUAUUCAAAUGCAUGUAUGUAUUUACCUUAUCUGUUUAGAAUCAUGUUGUGAAACCUGUUUUGAUCUUUCUCUACCCACUUUCUUGACGAGUACUUUGUUUUUUGUUGUAAGAAGUAUUUAAUUUUGUCAAGGCAAUUUGGUAAUUUCUAGUUGUUUGUUUUUUGUUGUAAGAAUAUUUAAUUUUGUCAAGGCAAUUUGGUAAUUUCUAGUUGUAUGAUGUUUGUUGACAAUUUUUAGUUGUAUCUCGUGGUUGUAUGUGAAUCUGAUAACAGUAAUAUGUAUCUGUUUAGCUGAGAUUCUGAUUCAAAUACACUUCUACACGAAUGGGUUGUUGUUUUUCAGGGGAUAUGAAUGCAAACAGUCGAAGAUAUUGCUCCAACUUCAAGUAGUCAAGAAGUGGGAGGUUCAUGUUCUAAUUAAGUAAAUACAUUUGAUGAAGAUGGAGAUGAAGUGGUCGGUUCAAAAGCGGGACAACAAGUUUGGAUGAUUUUGUUUGAUCCAAACAUGUUAUUUGAGUUUCAUUGUUGUGGUGCUAUAACGACAGAAGAUGAUUGAAUGAUCUAUUGAGACGGAGAUGGUGAUGAAGUAUACACAUAAAUUAUUGAAUCAAUUUUCUUGCCUAGAUCUUGUUAUUCUCAUGGUAGUCAUUCUGACAGAAAUCCAUUUCAUGUUAUAGUUAUUCUUGAAGAAUGUUAUGAUGAAAGGCAUCAAGGUUAUAGAGAUAGAUGGAAGGGGGGCAUGAUAAUCAAGGUCCUUACGUCUGCAUGAAAAUGUGUGGGAUGAAGAUGAAGAAUGGUCACUGAUCUUCCAAAAAGAAAGCAAUGUUCAUAGUUUUUUUAAAGAGAAAUUUAUGUUCAUAAUUGUAUUAUUAAGAAUGAAUGAAACUUAUUCUAAACAAUUAAAAUUCAUGUCAUAUAAAAUUUGUAUUCAUUAAAAAUUAUUUAUCUUGAUAAUAUAUGUUUAUAUUAUUCUGUCAGAAUAUAAUGUUUGUUUUUCAAGAUAACCAUGAACACAUUCUUUU